UUUUAAAGCCACAUUAGAGUCACUUAACUCUUUUUUCUUUCUUUCGUUUCUUUUGCUUUAAACUUAAGCUUGUUGUUUUUGACUGCAUGCCUUUUACAUAGGUGUUUCCAAAUCAACUUCUGCAGCAGCAAAAGCUCAGAAAUCACUGUGGGUGAUAUAUUUGCAUAACACAACAACCAGGAGCAUACACAUAUCACACUUUCUUGCUUACUUCAUAAUCCAGUGGUUCUGUCUUCUGUGUUUUGUGGUCUGCAGAUUUCUAAGAGUGAGUUUCUCUCUAAGAAGAACCAGUUACGAGCAUAUAUUCAGUGCCCUUUGUACUCCUCAAUGCCAUUGCCAAAGCUAUUUGCAUUGAUGGCAUGAAAUGAUGUGACACUGCCGUAUAAGAUUUUUUGUGGCCCUAAACAUAAUGGAUGCAGUACGCUCAAGUUGUUGGUAUAAAUUGGUCCACGUGUGUUUAUCUGCACUUAAUAACAUCACAGCCCAAUUUUAUCAUUUACACCAAAUCGCUUUGCAGACCUCUGAGGGUCCCUGGCCCCUGCUUUGAGAACCGCUGGCAUAAUAUAUAUAUCCUGUAUUAUCUCUUGUGCCAAAAAGAGCGUCAGUAAGAAAACUCCAACUCCUUUGCCUCAUCAUCUGUCGUUAGUUGAGAGUCUCUUGGUGACAGACAGGCAGGCACUGUGACACCCAGCCCUGGUAAUAGAAGGCAAUUAUAAGCCCUGGCAAGAGCUGUGGCAAUGGGGAAAACUUUUAUACAGCCCCCCUCCUGGGGCGCUGACAUGCAGACACACUGAAAUUAAUUGCUACAAAACAUCAGACGAGCUUGACGCACACAUGCGCAUAGUCAAACUCCUGGAAAGGAGAAGGAUGAAACAAUGCACAUCAUGCAACGUUACACUGAUGCGCGUGAGGAGGAAGAAGAAGAAAGGGAAAGCAGCAAAGAGAAGCAGUGAAAAAACAAGUAGAUCCCUUCCAACAAAUCAUGUUUUCAUCUAAAUAAAGAAGCCAAAGACAAUAGACUCGGGUACCUUGGAGACCAGGAGGACUAUUUCUCCAUGGCAACCAGUGUAGUGUGUGACAAUGCCGCAGUGCGAGGGUUUGAACUGCUAAAGCUGUCUGGGAAUGCAGAGAUAGAUGGGGGAGAGAGAAACUCAGAGAGUGAGACCCACGGAGGGCUGUCGGUGUGCUCGUAAUGAGAACACACACUGUCACAAUCCCACUGCGAGAAAAAUGGAAGUUCAUGACUUUCCAGCUCACGUUAUUUUCUUUUCUUUGACUCUUUAAGUCAAUACAAAGACAACUCCCGUUCCUAACUAAAUUAUGACACUAAGCCUGUUUAUGUUUCCGACAGUGCAAAUCCAAAUAUAUUCAUAAGUAAACAUUUCUCUGGUGUUGCUAUGGAGUUGUUCCCUUGUUAGAAAAAAAAAGAAAGAAAGGCAGCACCAUGUGGCCCUCGUACAAGAUUUAUUUUAAUUGUGUGGUGUAUUGUGGCCAGGAGAAUGUCAGACUAUAUGCUGGGUGUGUGCUGUCGACACACUUGUGGAUACAUGUAGUCGUGUCGGCCCUUGGACACGAUCACGCCUGUGUAAACGAGGUUGCGUUCGACGUGCCACGUGCGUUUGUGUGUUCGGAUUGCAGGACAAAUAACGGAACGUGUUUGUCUUUGUCGCAGUUCUUGUGGCAAUAAAACUAUUUCAGACUUUUCACUUCCUGUUUGAUCGCUCCUCUUUAUACACGUGUUAAAACGCCAGGUUCAAUGGAGGUCCAUUGUUCCGUGAUAUUGUGGCAAGUUAUUGGAAACAGCUUUGGCCAUCCGACUCAAGGAGACUAUUUGUCUUGGCAACUUCUGAUCUGACUCAAAAACUCAAAUAAACUCUGGAGAACAACUUAAAGAUUGUGUAACAUCCAGGCUUCAGUGGCUGUCAUCACCCACCUUCUAAUCCUGGUCCGCCCAUCAGGGGAGCACACCUGUAUGCUAAUGGGGAGGGAUUGCACCACAGCUUGGUGUGGGCAGCCCAGGAGGUGAGGUGAUGUGACGGAGGAGUGGGAGUGUCUGCCUCCCUGGCUGCCCUGUCUACCUGACUGACUGCCUGGCACUGGGUUCUGAAAAAUGCCAACACAAAGCUUGAUAUUUGCUCCCACAUAGAUACCGUGGGUCACCAGUUUGAUCAGUUGAGGACUCCUCUGACUGGUUUGUGUGGGCAGUUAUUUUGAACAUACCGAAGAGAAGAAACUGCUGACCUACAUACACAAAUAUGCAAAAGUACACACAGAUCCUAAGCAUCUACACACGUAGACUAAUUCUCCUUCUCCUGCCCUUACAGCAUCUGGCUUCCACCCCCUCCAUGCAUCAGAGUGAAGAGAGGCCCAAACAACCACUGUGAACUGUUUAUCAUCUUUAUUACUUUAUUACUUUUCUGAGAGUUUUCCCUAACCUGAUUUUAUUACAUUGUCAUCAGAUGAUGAGUUCUCUCAUCUGCUGCUCUCUGCUCUUUUCUUCUUUGCUUUUCCACAAAUUUAUCGACCUUGGUAGCUGAUGCAUGACAGCGGUGGUGGAUGCAGACAGGAGUUUAGAUUUGGUAUCAUCACCUUGCCACGUUUAAAAUCAUUUUGUGUAACUCACCAUCAUUGUAGGCUGUCUCCUGGUCUUUUAUCGUCAAAGUAACAGGCCCAUGGAGGAGGAGAAUUCUUGUAGCUAAAAAGCAGAAUGUAAAUCUAAACGUUAACUGUAUGUGUGCACGGUGACAGGCUAGCAUUUUUUUCUACGCAUUGCCACAUACCUUCAGAAUUUAUUAGAUUUAUACGUACAGUAUCUGGAUGAAUAAACAGAAUUACACAUUCUCCAGCU